rnacentral:sRNA from 1 species
GUGCAAAUCGGCCUGAAACUUUUUUAUGUGUAUGCGAAUAUCCAUGGAAAGUACAUAUGCCUCUCGGCAUAGACAGGUAAGA